rnacentral:rRNA from 1 species
GAUGAACGCUGGCGGCGUGCCUAAUACAUGCAAGUCGAGCGAACGGACGAGAAGCUUGCUUUUCUGAUGUUAGCGGCGGACGGGUGAGUAACACGUGGAUAACCUACCUAUAAGACUGGGAUAACUUCGGGAAACCGGAGCUAAUACCGGAUAAUAUUUUGAACCGCAUGGUUCAAAAGUGAAAGACGGUCUUGCUGUCACUUAUAGAUGGAUCCGCGCUGCAUUAGCUAGUUGGUAAGGUAACGGCUUACCAAGGCAACGAUGCAUAGCCGACCUGAGAGGGUGAUCGGCCACACUGGAACUGAGACACGGUCCAGACUCCUACGGGAGGCAGCAGUAGGGAAUCUUCCGCAAUGGGCGAAAGCCUGACGGAGCAACGCCGCGUGAGUGAUGAAGGUCUUCGGAUCGUAAAACUCUGUUAUUAGGGAAGAACAUAUGUGUAAGUAACUGUGCACAUCUUGACGGUACCUAAUCAGAAAGCCACGGCUAACUACGUGCCAGCAGCCGCGGUAAUACGUAGGUGGCAAGCGUUAUCCGGAAUUAUUGGGCGUAAAGCGCGCGUAGGCGGUUUUUUAAGUCUGAUGUGAAAGCCCACGGCUCAACCGUGGAGGGUCAUUGGAAACUGGAAAACUUGAGUGCAGAAGAGGAAAGUGGAAUUCCAUGUGUAGCGGUGAAAUGCGCAGAGAUAUGGAGGAACACCAGUGGCGAAGGCGACUUUCUGGUCUGUAACUGACGCUGAUGUGCGAAAGCGUGGGGAUCAAACAGGAUUAGAUACCCUGGUAGUCCACGCCGUAAACGAUGAGUGCUAAGUGUUAGGGGGUUUCCGCCCCUUAGUGCUGCAGCUAACGCAUUAAGCACUCCGCCUGGGGAGUACGACCGCAAGGUUGAAACUCAAAGGAAUUGACGGGGACCCGCACAAGCGGUGGAGCAUGUGGUUUAAUUCGAAGCAACGCGAAGAACCUUACCAAAUCUUGACAUCCUUUGACAACUCUAGAGAUAGAGCCUUCCCCUUCGGGGGACAAAGUGACAGGUGGUGCAUGGUUGUCGUCAGCUCGUGUCGUGAGAUGUUGGGUUAAGUCCCGCAACGAGCGCAACCCUUAAGCUUAGUUGCCAUCAUUAAGUUGGGCACUCUAAGUUGACUGCCGGUGACAAACCGGAGGAAGGUGGGGAUGACGUCAAAUCAUCAUGCCCCUUAUGAUUUGGGCUACACACGUGCUACAAUGGACAAUACAAAGGGCAGCGAAACCGUGAGGUCAAGCAAAUCCCAUAAAGUUGUUCUCAGUUCGGAUUGUAGUCUGCAACUCGACUACAUGAAGCUGGAAUCGCUAGUAAUCGUAGAUCAGCAUGCUACGGUGAAUACGUUCCCGGGUCU